rnacentral:rRNA from 1 species
UACGUAGGCAGCAAGCGUUGUUCGGAGUUACUGGGCGUAAAGAGUGCGUAGGCGGUCCUGUAAGUUUGGUGUGAAAUCUCCCGGCUCAACUGGGAGGGUGCGCCGAAGACUGCAGGGCUUGAGUAUGGGAGAGGUAAGCGGAAUUCCUGGUGUAGCGGUGAAAUGCGUAGAUAUCUGAAGGAACAUCAGUGGCGAAAGCGACCUCCUGGACCAAUACUGACGCUCAGGUGCGAAAGCGUGGGGAGCAAACAGG